CAGUUUACCAAGAACAUGUAAGGGACAAAUAUAUAUACUGGACAUCAGGUAAAGUUUCAUUACAAUAAAUAUCAUUUCAAAGUGUUCAGUUUCUACAACAUAGUUAUUAUUUAAUGUCUGCAGGGUCCCAGGAGUGAGAAAUGCUUUAUCUGGUAAUAGUGUAAUUGAUGAUGGAUGGAUGGUACACAGCUACCAUACUGAGAAUAGUUGACUUCUUUGGUAACAGACAUUUUAUGUAUUCAAAUAUUACAGAAGGAAUAAGAUCAAAUGUUGUGAGAAUUUGAACAUCUUUACAGAUACAGGAUUCUUCCUCUUCUAGUUCCUCAGUUGAUACUGUCUGCAGUCAUUCAGCACUUAAAACUUGCAGGAUGAGAGCCACAGCAGCAAAGUGGUUAAGAGCACAAACGGUAAAGGAACUGGUUCUAGCAGUUUACUAACUGGGAAUGAUGGGCAAGUUGUUUAUCCUCUUGUACCUCACAUUCAACUAUAAAUGGAAUUAAGAAGUGACUAAAUCUCGCCCUAGCUGGUUUUGCUCAGUGGAUAGAGCGUCGGCCUUCGGACUGAAGGGUCCCAAGUUCA